AGUGAACGCUGGCGGUAGGCCUAACACAUGCAAGUCGAACGGCAGCACAGUAAGAGCUUGCUCUUACGGGUGGCGAGUGGCGGACGGGUGAGGAAUACAUCGGAAUCUACUUUUUCGUGGGGGAUAACGUAGGGAAACUUACGCUAAUACCGCAUACGACCUACGGGUGAAAGCAGGGGAUCUUCGGACCUUGCGCGAUUGAAUGAGCCGAUGUCGGAUUAGCUAGUUGGCGGGGUAAAGGCCCACCAAGGCGACGAUCCGUAGCUGGUCUGAGAGGAUGAUCAGCCACACUGGAACUGAGACACGGUCCAGACUCCUACGGGAGGCAGCAGUGGGGAAUAUUGGACAAUGGGCGCAAGCCUGAUCCAGCCAUACCGCGUGGGUGAAGAAGGCCUUCGGGUCGUAAAGCCCUUUUGUUGGGAAAGAAAAGCAGCAGGUUAAUACCCCGCUGUUCUGACGGUACCCAAAGAAUAAGCACCGGCCAACUUCGU
rnacentral:rRNA from 1 species